GAUGAACGCUGGCGGCGUGCCUAAUACAUGCAAGUCGAGCGAACAGACGAGGAGCUUGCUCCUCUGACGUUAGCGGCGGACGGGUGAGUAACACGUGGAUAACCUACCUAUAAGACUGGGAUAACUUCGGGAAACCGGAGCUAAUACCGGAUAAUAUAUUGAACCGCAUGGUUCAAUAGUGAAAGACGGUUUUGCUGUCACUUAUAGAUGGAUCCGCGCCGCAUUAGCUAGUUGGUAAGGUAACGGCUUACCAAGGCAACGAUGCGUAGCCGACCUGAGAGGGUGAUAGGCCACACUGGAACUGAGACACGGUCCAGACGCCUACGGGAGGCAGCAGUAGGGAAUCUUACGCAAUGGGCGAAAGCAUGACGGAGCAACGCCGCGUGAGUGAUGAAGGUCUUCGGAGCGUAAAACUCUGUUAUUAGGGAAGAACAAAUGUGUAAGUAACUAUGCACGUAUUGACGGUACCUAAUCAGAAAGCCACGGCUAACUACGUG
rnacentral:rRNA from 1 species